GGCCCCCUCAUUUUUUGAAUUUCUAGAGACCGUUUGCCCUCUCCUUACUCUUUCAAACAUAGACGAUCACCCUCAAACAACAUACACUCUCUCUAUAGGUGUGUACGUGAUCGCAGAUCCAUCAAAGAAGCCAGUUCUUGCUUCAUCUCCUUCCAUAAUCAGAAUCUUCGAAUGUGUCUAAUCUAUUGUGGGAGUAGCUCCUUGUACAAACCCUAAGAGUAGGAAACUGAUAAUGGUUUGUUGGAGAGGGUAUAGACAGAGUUACCAGCAAGCAGGAUUCGAGGUCUGCAGUAAGGCUCUCAGGGAUGGGAAGUGAUCCAGCCAACAAGGUUUCGUCUUCUGAUGGGAUCAGCCAGGGGCUUCAGAAAAUGCCAGUUUUGCAUGGGAGGACCACUGGCCCUACGAGACGUUCAACAAAGGGGCAAUGGACUGAAGAAGAGGAUGAGAUUUUGCGUAAAGCUGUUCAGCGGUUCAAAGGAAAAAAUUGGAAAAAAAUAGGUAACUUUCUUCAUCAACAAUAUUUAUGCUCGCGGACAUCUCAUUGUUGGAUAUUAAAAUAUAAGUGUAUGAGUUGCCAUGCUUUUGAAGAUAUAUCAUAUUUUCUUCAUCAAUGUUGCUUGAUGUUUAAUAUUGCUAUAUUUCGUUAAUUCUUUUUGAUAAUUGGACCUUUUCUUGUAGUGGGAAGGUUAUUACAUUCUUUUUAGUUUCUUAUUAAUAAAUUUACCCAUAGUCUAGUGCAAUUUGAAGCCUGCCUUUCUGGAAGGCUCCUAUUAUUGUGUUCUUAUACAUGUCUCAUCAAACCUUUGAAAUACUAAUAACAAGGAAAAUAUCCCGAUUAUUAUGUGGCCACAAAACUUUCAAAACUCUUAUGUACUUUGGAUCAUUAAGAGGCAUCUCAUAUUAACCUCUUAGGGGUAAUGGCUUGCAUUUUUCAUUAUAAUUUAUUUGUUUACAUCUUGGUAAUCCAGAGUCAAAUGAAAGAUUGAGAACAUAUUUUGGUUGACAGCUAAGAGUUCACUUUUGAGACUAUGAGAUCUUGGUUUGCACAAUAGCAUGUGCUCCGAAAGGGCUAAAUUAAAAGCAUAUUGAGGCUACUAAUGGGAUAAGACAUGCAAGUGUGCUUUCCCAAGUGAUGUAGCUAGAAGAAGAUUAUGAAAUAUGAUGAAUUCUUGUUCAAGCUUUUUCAAGUUUGAAAAAUAGGAAUGUCACAAUUAGCAAUGAGCAUCUCUCAUACCAACCCGGGUUGAUUCCUUGAAGUGUUUGACCCAUAAAGCCAUGGCAUGACUUAUGUUGUUACUUCUUAAUAGGUUCAUUGUUAACUCUUGAUGAGUGGGGAAAAAUGUUAUAGAAAAGAAGGUUUUUGGUCCUCUGAUAACAAAUGUAAGAUUCUAAGAAAGUAGGAUCCUAUAACACAAAUGGUAAUAGUAAAGCAAUGUCUAAUUAAAGUCAACCCUACACCUACAGUGGGGCAAGAAGAAACCAUGUACUAUCAUAAUGGUCGAUUGGAACAUGGUAGUUAAAAGUAUUUCUGUUAUCCAUCAUCUGGUUAGAUCGAAGUCAAUUAUGAAAGGUGAUAAACUUGCAGUAGAAAAGACGAAAGAAAUACCUAAUUUGUGCUGGAAGUAGUAGAUGCACCUCGGAUGAAAAGAGAGCAUUUGGAAAAUAGCUCUCCUUAGCGGGAAUGUACUAUGUACCGAUCCGAGCCCAAAGCCACUAGUUGGAUGUAUAUACUAGAGGGGGUAUUUCAAAGAUUAUAGGGAUAAUGGAUUCACACACGUCAUGGACUCACGGGCCUAUAAAGUUUGUGUAAGGCAUGGCACGUCGAUGUGCAUUUUUUUACAAAGCGGGACGUUUUUCAAUUUUUUUCAGUUCUUUAGCUUUUGUGUUUUCACACUUUUAACUUCAAAUUUUACACUCUUACAUAUUUAGCUAAUCACAUCGCUAACAGUUUUAUGGAUUCACGCAUGCCAUGGACUCAUGGUUAAAAUGAAGUCGUAAAAUCAUCCACAUUAUAUUUUGAAUAUUUGAUUACAGAC